GGGAAACUGCCCGAUGGAGGGGGAUAACUACUGGAAACGGUAGCUAAUACCGCAUAACGUCGCAAGACCAAAGUGGGGGACCUUCGGGCCUCACACCAUCGGAUGUGCCCAGAUGGGAUUAGCUAGUAGGUGGGGUUAUGGCUCACCUAGGCGACGAUCCCUAGCUGGUCUGAGAGGAUGACCAGCCACACUGGAACCGAGACACGGUCCAGACUCCUACGGGAGGCAGCAGUGGGGAAUAUUGCACAAUGGGCGCAAGCCUGAUGCAGCCAUGCCGCGUGUAUGAAGAAGGCCUUCGGGUUGUAAAGUACUUUCAGCGGGGAGGAAGGCGGUGAAGUUAAUAGCUUCACCGAUUGACGUUACCCGCAGAAGAAGCACCGGCUAACUCCGUGCCAGCAGCCGCGGCAAUACGGAGGGUGCAAGCGUUAAUCGGAAUUACUGGGCGUAAAGCGCACGCAGGCGGUCUGUCAAGUCGGAUGUGAAAUCCCCGGGCUUAACCUGGGAACUGCAUUCGAAACUGGCAGGCUAGAGUCUUGUAGAGGGGGGUAGAAUUCCAGGU
rnacentral:rRNA from 1 species